rnacentral:rRNA from 1 species
UACAGAGGGGGCAAGCGUUGUUCGGAAUUACUGGGCGUAAAGGGCGCGUAGGCGGCCUGUUAAGUCGAACGUGAAAUCCCCGGGCUCAACCCGGGAACUGCGUCCGAUACUGGCAGGCUUGAAUCCGGGAGAGGGAUGCGGAAUUCCAGGUGUAGCGGUGAAAUGCGUAGAUAUCUGGAGGAACACCGGUGGCGAAGGCGGCAUCCUGGACCGGUAUUGACGCUGAGGCGCGAAAGCCAGGGGAGCGAAACGGG